UUCCGGUUGAUCCUGCCGGAGAUCACUGUUAUUAGGGUUCGGCUUAGCCAUGCUAGGCGUGAGUCUUCGGGACUCGCCGCACUGCUCAGUAACACGUAGUUAACCUGCUCUUAGGUGGAGGAUAAUCCCGAGAAAUUGGGGCUAAUACUCCAUAGGUUUUGGAUACUGGAAUGUUUCAAAACUCAAAUCUCCGGAGCCUAAGAAUGGGACUGCGGCCCAUCAGGCUGUUGUGAGUGUAAAGUACUCACAAACCUAUAACGGGUGGGGGCCAUGAGAGUGGAAGCCUCGAGAUGCCUUCUGAGACAUGAAGGCAGGUCCUACGGGACGCAGCAGGCGCGAAAACUUUCCAAUUCAUUAGCGUGUGAGAAGGGAACCCUGAGUGAUUAUGCUUUGCAUAGUCUUUUGUUUUGUCUAGAUCGCAAGACGAAUAAGUGGUGGGCAAGACGGGUGCCAGCCGCCGCGGUAAUACCCGCGCCACAAAUGGUGAUCAUGGUUAUUGGGUCUAAAGCGUUCGUAGCCGGUUUAGCAAGUUCCUGGUGAAAUCUGGCAGCUAACUGUCAGGCAUGCUGGGAAUACUACUAGACUUGAGAUCGGGAGAGGAUAGAGGUAUUCCAUGUGUAGGGGUUAAAUCCUUUAAUCCAUGGAGGACCACCUGUGGCGAAAGCGUCUAUCUAGAACGAGUCUGACGGUGAGGGACGAAAGCGUAGGGAGCAAACGGAUUAGAUACCCGUGUAGUCUACGCCGUAAACGAUGCCUGUUUGGCGUUGCAUGCCUUAUGUGGGUAUGCAGUACCGGAGCGUAGUGUUAAACAGGCCACCUGGGGAGUACGGCCGCAAGGCUAAACUUAAGGAAUUGGCGGGGGGAGCACACAGGGGUGGAAGACU
rnacentral:rRNA from 1 species